rnacentral:lncRNA from 1 species
GUGCCAAUCUUGUGGGUGUGAAUGCACUUUGAGCACGUGCGUAUCUGUUACCCAUGCGUUAGUCACGAGGAAAGCUCACGAAAUGGCAACAGUCGUCGUUCUCGGCGGUGGAAUCAGUGGCCUCACCACGGCAUACUACCUUUCCACUCUUGGGAAGGAAGCCGUGAAAAAAAUCUUGCUCAUAGAAAGGACUGCGCGCCUGGGUGGCUGGAUUCGAUCCACUGCACUACCUGAUGGGACAGUAUAUGAACAUGGGCCUAGUUCAUUGCGUGCUGGUGGUAAAUCUGGACGAAACGCCUUACAGUUGGCUCAGGACCUGGGAUUGUCGGAGCAUGUGCUGGCAGUGCCUCUCUCCUCACCAGCAGGUUAGUUGGUAUUUGUCUUAUUUGUUCAUAAAUUUGUAUAUGCAGUGUAAUGACAUCCAAGAGUGCAAGGAAGUAUCUAUACAACAUAUCAUUUAAGACUUUAUUAAGC